rnacentral:sRNA from 1 species
UGUAUUGGAAGUCAGUCUAGGUUCGCGACAUCGUGUCGCAACGACUGACUGACCCACAUCCUGUGGG